CGAGUGGCGAACGGGUGAGUAACACGUGGGUGAUCUGCCCCUGACUUUGGGAUAAGCCUGGGAAACUGGGUCUAAUACCGGAUAUGACCAAGGAUUGCAUGGUUCUUGGUGGAAAGCUUUUGCGGUUGGGGAUGGGCCCGCGGCCUAUCAGCUUGUUGGUGGGGUAAUGGCCUACCAAGGCGACGACGGGUAGCCGACCUGAGAGGGUGAUCGGCCACACUGGGACUGAGACACGGCCCAGACUCCUACGGGAGGCAGCAGUGGGGAAUAUUGCACAAUGGGCGCAAGCCUGAUGCAGCGACGCCGCGUGAGGGAUGACGGCCUUCGGGUUGUAAACCUCUUUCAGCAGGGACGAAGCUUUCGGGUGACGGUACCUGCAGAAGAAGCACCGGCCAACUACGUGCCAGCAGCCGCGGUAAUACGUAGGGUGCGAGCGUUGUCCGGAAUUACUGGGCGUAAAGAGCUCGUAGGCGGUUUGUCGCGUCGUCUGUGAAAUUCUGCAGCUUAACUGCAGGCGUGCAGGCGAUACGGGCAGACUUGAGUACUACAGGGGAGACUGGAAUUCCUGGUGUAGCGGUGAAAUGCGCAGAUAUCAGGAGGAACACCGGUGGCGAAGGCGGGUCUCUGGGUAGUAACUGACGCUGAGGAGCGAAAGCGUGGGUAGCGAACAGGAUUAGAU
rnacentral:rRNA from 1 species